GACGAACGCUGGCGGCGUGCUUAACACAUGCAAGUCGAACGGAAAGGCCCUGCUUUUGUGGGGUGCUCGAGUGGCGAACGGGUGAGUAACACGUGAGUAACCUGCCCUUGACUUUGGGAUAACUUCAGGAAACUGGGGCUAAUACCGGAUAGGAGCUCCUGCUGCAUGGUGGGGGUUGGAAAGUUUCGGCGGUUGGGGAUGGACUCGCGGCUUAUCAGCUUGUUGGUGGGGUAGUGGCUUACCAAGGCUUUGACGGGUAGCCGGCCUGAGAGGGUGACCGGCCACAUUGGGACUGAGAUACGGCCCAGACUCCUACGGGAGGCAGCAGUGAGGAAUAUUGCACAAUGGGCGGAAGCCUGAUGCAGCAACGCCGCGUGCGGGAUGACGGCCUUCGGGUUGUAAACCGCUUUCGCCUGUGACGAAGCGUGAGUGACGGUAAUGGGUAAAGAAGCACCGGCUAACUACG
rnacentral:rRNA from 1 species